rnacentral:rRNA from 1 species
AUUGAACGCUGGCGGCAGGCCUAACACAUGCAAGUCGAGCGGAGCGGCGGACGGGUGAGUAAUGCCUAGGAAUCUGCCUGGUAGUGGGGGAUAACGUCCAGAAACGGGCGCUAAUACCGCAUACUAGCAGAUGAGCCUAGGUCGGAUUAGCUAGUUGGUGGGGUAAAGGCCUACCAAGGCGACGAUCCGUAACUGGUCUGAGAGGAUGAUCAGUCACAGUGGAACUGAGAAAAGGUCCAGACUGAGAAGGGGGGCAGCGGUGGGGAAUAUUGGACAAGGGGCGAAAGUCUGAUCCAGCGAGGCCGCGUGUGUGAUGAAGGCCGUCGGGUUGUAAACCGCUUUCAGCCAUGACGCGGUAGUGGCAGAAGAAGCACCGGCUAACGACGUGCCAGCAGCCGCGGUAAUAC